UACGUAGGGUGCAAGCGUUGUCCGGAAUUAUUGGGCGUAAAGAGCUUGUAGGCGGUUUGUCGCGUCUGCUGUGAAAUUUCGGGGCUCAACCCCGAACUUGCAGUGGGUACGGGCAGACUAGAGUGUGGUAGGGGAGACUGGAAUUCCUGGUGUAGCGGUGAAAUGCGCAGAUAUCAGGAGGAACACCGAUGGCGAAGGCAGGUCUCUGGGCCAUUACUGACGCUGAGGAGCGAAAGCGUGGGGAGCGAACAGG
rnacentral:rRNA from 1 species